AGCUUUGCUGGUAGGCACAGCCGUUGCUCUGGUUGAGCUGUGCAAACCUAUGCAAAGCUGA
rnacentral:pre_miRNA from 1 species